GCAUAUCAAUAAGCGGAGGAAAAGAAACCAACAGGGAUUGCCCCAGUAACGGCGAGUGAAGCGGCAACAGCUCAAAUUUGAAAUCUGGCCCCAGGCCCGAGUUGUAAUUUGCAGAGGAUGCUUCUGACGACGCGCCUUCCGAGUUCCUUGGAACAGGACGCCAAAGAGGGUGAGAGCCCCGUCCGGUCGUGCGCCUAGUCUAUGUGAAGCUCCUUCGACGAGUCGAGUAGUUUGGGAAUGCUGCUCUAAAUGGGAGGUAUACGUCUUCUAAAGCUAAAUACCGGCCAGAGACCGAUAGCGCACAAGUAGAGUGAUCGAAAGAUGAAAAGCACUUUGAAAAGAGGGUUAAAUAGUACGUGAAAUUGCUGAAAGGGAAGCGCUUAUGACCAGACUUGGGGCGGUUAAUCAUCCGGCGUUCUCGCCGGUGCACUUUGCCGUCUCAGGCCAGCAUCAGUUUGCUUCGGGGGAUAAAGGCUUCGGGAAUGUGGCUCCCUCGGGAGUGUUAUAGCCCGUUGUGUAAUACCCUGGAGCGGACUGAGGUACGCGUUCGCAAGGAUGCUGGCGUAAUGGUCAUCAGUGACCCGUCUUGAAACACGGACCAAGGAGUCGUCUUCGUAUGCGAGUGUUCGGGUGUCAAACCCCUACGCGUAAUGAAAGUGAACGUAGGAGAGAGCUUCGGCGCAUCUCCGACCGAUCCUGAUGUUCUCGGAUGGAUUUGAGUAAGAGCAUACGGGGCCGGACCCGAAAGAAGGUGAACUAUGCCUGUGUAGGGUGAAGCCAGGGGAAACUCUGGUGGAGGCUCGCAGCGGUUCUGACGUGCAAAUCGAUCGUCAAACAUGGGCAUGGGGGCGAAAGACUAAUCGAACCUUCUAGUAGCUGGUUUCCGC
rnacentral:rRNA from 1 species